rnacentral:SRP_RNA from 2 species
UGCCGGGUCCCUUCGGGUAGGGACUGGUGAACCCCGCCAGGCCCGGAAGGGAGCAACGGUAAGCCAGAAUCCCUACGCCGAUAGGGGGCGCCCGGCUUUA